AAAUUCUGAAAUAUUCACAAAGAGAUUAUGAUAUAAUAUAAUGUCUCUCUCAAAGCCGAAUUGAUCAGGAGGUAUUCUUCCUGAAAAUCAAUUCGAAAUGCGGCCAGACACUUCUUCUGGAGGAUAAUCCAGAAAGAUAACCAAGGAAAAAAUGAAUUGUAUUUUUUUUUUGUAAGAGGGGACGCCUGCAGUUACUAUAACUUCUGUCACUGCCUUUGCCCUUCAGGUGAGCAUUCUAUUGUGAUCUCUUUGUGCGCACUGGAUAACCUCCCCUUUGUAGUAGCCUGCAAACCAC
rnacentral:lncRNA from 1 species